UACGAGAGGUCCAAACGUUAUUCGGAAUCACUGGGCUUACAGAGUUCGUAGGCGGUACGGAAAGUGGGGUGUGAAAGCCCUCGGCUCAACCGAGGAACUGCGCUCCAAACUACCGUGCUAGAGGAAGAUAGAGGUGAGCAGAACUGAUGGUGGAGCGGCGAAAUGCGUUGAUAUCAUCAGGAAUACCGGAGGCGAAGGCGGCUCACUGGGUCUUUUCUGACGCUGAGGAACGAAAGCUAGGGGAGCAAACGGG
rnacentral:rRNA from 1 species